UACAGAGGGGGCUAGCGUUGUUCGGAAUUACUGGGCGUAAAGCGCACGUAGUCGGCUUUGCAAGUCGGUUGUGAAAUCCCCGGGCUCAACCUGGGAACUGCAUCCGAGACUGCAUUGCUAGAGUAUGGGAGAGGAAAGCGGAAUUUCUGGUGUAGCAGUGAAAUGCGUAGAUAUCAGAAGGAACAUCAGUGGCGAAGGCGGCUUUCUGGACCAAUACUGACGAUCAGGUGCGAAAGCGUGGGGAGCAAACAGG
rnacentral:rRNA from 1 species